rnacentral:tRNA from 1 species
GGUGGCUCAGUGGCAGAGCGCUUGCCUUGUAUGCCUGAGGCCCUGGGUUCGAUUCCUCAGCACCA